rnacentral:rRNA from 1 species
AAGGAUCAUUAAAGAAAUUUAAUAAUUUUGAAAAUGGAUUUUUUUGUUUUGGCAAGAGCAUGAGAGCUUUUACUGGGCAAGAAGACAAGAGAUGGAGAGUCCAGCCGGGCCUGCGCUUAAGUGCGCGGUCUUGCUAGGCUUGUAAGUUUCUUUCUUGCUAUUCCAAACGGUGAGAGAUUUCUGUGCUUUUGUUAUAGGACAAUUAAAACCGUUUCAAUACAACACACUGUGGAGUUUUCAUAUCUUUGCAACUUUUUCUUUGGGCAUUCGAGCAAUCGGGGCCCAGAGGUAACAAACACAAACAAUUUUAUCUAUUCAUUAAAUUUUUGUCAAAAACAAGAAUUUUCGUAACUGGAAAUUUUAAAAUAUUAAAAACUUUCAACAACGGAUCUCUUGGUUCUCGCAUCGAUGAAGAACGCAGCGAAAUGCGAUACGUAAUGUGAAUUGCAGAAUUCCGUGAAUCAUCGAAUCUUUGAACGCACAUUGCGCCCCUUGGUAUUCCAGGGGGCAUGCCUGUUUGAGCGUCAUUUCCUUCUCAAACAUUCUGUUUGGUAGUGAGUGAUACUCUUUGGAGUUAACUUGAAAUUGCUGGCCUUUUCAUUGGAUGUUUUUUUUCCAAAGAGAGGUUUCUCUGCGUGCUUGAGGUAUAAUGCAAGUACGGUCGUUUUAGGUUUUACCAACUGCGGCUAAUCUUUUUUUAUACUGAGCGUAUUGGAACGUUAUCGAUAAGAAGAGAGCGUCUAGGCGAACAAUGUUCUUAAAGUUUGACCUCAAAUCAGGUAGGAGUACCCGCUGAACUUAAGCAUAUCAAU